rnacentral:tRNA from 1 species
GCCUGGCUGGCUCAGUUGGUAGAGCGUGUGACUCUUGAUCCUGGGAUUGUGAGUUCAAGCCCCACGUUGGGUA